rnacentral:rRNA from 1 species
CACGCCGUAAACGAUGAAUACUAGGUGUAGGGGGUAUCGACCCCUCCUGUGCCGGAGUUAACACAAUAAGUAUUCCACCUGGGGAGUACGGCCGCAAGGCUGAAACUCAAAGGAAUUGACGGGGGCCCGCACAAGCAGUGGAGUAUGUGGUUUAAUUCGACGCAACGCGAAGAACCUUACCAGGGCUUGACAUCCUCUGACCGCAUAAGAGAUUAUGUUUUCCCUUCGGGGACAGAGAGACAGGUGG